rnacentral:lncRNA from 1 species
CAUAAACACAGGGGAUUUAGUCCUACUAAGUAACUCUAUGACCUCAAGGUAGUCAUUUAAUGUCUUUGGGCCUCGGUUUCCUCAUCCGUGAAGUAAGGAACUUAGAAUACAUUAUUCAUAAGGUCAAUUCCAACCCUAUCUUCAAGUGGUACCAUAAAAGUUCGCAGAUUCAGACUCUGAGAUGUAACUCCCAUUUAAAUUGGAAAUCUCUCUGAGGUCCAGUUUCUUUUUCUAUAAAAUGAAGAGUUUCGGCUAACACAGACUCUUAAGUUUUUUCCUAAGCCUCACAUUCUUUACUUCUGUUGCACUUUUGGAUUUUUUUGUACUCUGGUGAAAUGAAACGUCUUACCAUUUUUUGUUUGUUUCUUUGAGGUUGUGGUCACACACAUACGAAAUGCGAGGCUGUGUCACGUACAUUUGCAGACGUAAUGCGCGCAUUUUGCUGUUUGUGAACACUAACUCUGCCUUGAGGCAGUGUGUGGAGCAGAGACGUGUCCUUGUGGUUUGUUGAAUGCUCUAAACUUGACAAUGAGAGGACAGGAAAUGGUCCAUUGAGAAACUGGUGAUGAAAAAAUGCUGAAAUCUGUCUUUAACCUCAAUUCUGGUCAAUUCACAUCGGAAACUGCAGUAUUUUUAAACUGUGCAUUUCCACUUCUCUUACUUCCCAUUCCUCUGGCUUGCUUUAUGUAUCUAGAUGCAUGAUUCUGGCCUGGAAGCAGUUCAGUCAGCUGAGCCACUCAAAGGGCCUGGGCACACUUGUGUCUUUCCUUCCUGCCUCAGUUUCUACAGCCAGGAAGGAGGGUGGAAGAGGAGUGAGUCCAUACCACAAGAAGGCAGGAUAGCAAAUAUUUUUGAGAUGAAGAGCUACCAUCCCAGGAGAUGGGAGAAACGCCUGGAAGGGAGAAGAGACCUGAAAAGUAUUUUCUCUUCCACCCAGGAGGCUCCUGGGGACCACUUUCUGAAUCCGGCAUCCUGCUUGUUGGUCUCUUUGCAGAGAUGUGCAGAAGCCCUGUGGAGUUCCUGAGGAAUCCUGCAGCUGCUGGGGCCUUGAGGAGAUGGGCAGUGUGUCUCCCAGUCCUUGUUAGUCCCACAAAUGGCCCAUUGAGGGGAGCAGGAGAAGGGAGAGGCAUCGAGGGCUGGCCCUGGGGUCCCUCAAUGGGAGUACUGUUCAGGCUUGGGUGGAAGCCAGCCCUGACACCAUGCUAGUUGUUAAAGCCUCAUUCUUCCCAAGGAGGCGGCUGGAAAGGCAGCAGAGCAGCUGAGGCUCCAGAGAAGGUACUUCUCUUGUUCCUCACAAGGCCUGACUGAUACAUGAGAGGAAGCCACUUCCUUUUCAAUUAUUUUCUGUUGUUCAUUACAUUUACAUCCCAAGCGUUUUUCCUCUUCCUUCUUACUCUCAUUUUACUACUCAAGACCCAAAACUGAUGGGCUUUUCCUUUCUCUCCCCAAUCUCAACUGAAACUUAGAAAUGAUGUCAAAUUUUUCUGUUUUGUACCAAUCUCCCUGCAGCCCGUCAGAGAAACACCCUGAGAAUGGCUGCAGUUUUCCUGUUUCUCUUGAGCCCCGGAGGAUUUCAAAGUCUCUUUCAAAAUGAAGAAUGGAUCUUUGGAGAUUGCAAAGUACUAGACGCCCACUGUGGGAAACGUUGCUUUUCCUACCCACCAUCCAUACUCCUUUUUCCGGUAACACCACUUCGAUUGUCCUUUGAGGGCCACCCUUCUUCCACACUCAGCUCAUAGGCAUUGGUAGGGUUGACCUGACCAUGGAGGCUCCCUGAUUUCAGGGUAGGCACAGCAUCCUGGCCUGCAUCUUCUGUCCUCCUGGCUUUGGGUGGGGGGUAGUUGGGACCCAGACUGAGCCAUGUCAGAGCCAAUCCUGAAGGAUUUGGGGGGAAGUAUUGGGAAAGAGACUCUGUUUUCACCUAGGUUGCUGACUGGGUAAAGUAUAAGUUGGCAGCUGUGGUGAUCAUCUUUGCUACCACAUGGGAAGAGUCAGUAAGAAUAUAGGCCACAGAGGAAAACUGAGCCAAAGUGACAGACCGCUGAUGACAUAGGGUGUAUACUGGACCCAACUAUGCCUGAAGCCUGGACCCUGACUUCUCAGUUAUGCUGGUCAGUACAUUCCCUCUUAUUCCUUUAUCUCAUUUGAGCUGAGUUUCUGCUCCUAGCUCCAUCAGUUUCUGUUAGCUUGACUCUUUUAGUUGCAACUAAAAGGGUCCUAACUGAUACUAAGCUUUUUUCUGCUUCCUACUGCCUGCUAAGGUUACCCUUAUCCAGUUAUUUGCUAUAGUGUCUUGCGACUGCUCCAAACUGUACCAGAGCUAAGGUGUACUAACCUUGUCCAAAAUUUCAGCCUAGAUGAAAACAGGAAGGCUCACUCACCCAGUUCACCUCUGACUGGAUGGGGUAACAGACACCACUGAAAUCCCCAGCCAUGUCUUGAGUCUGUGGUAAGAGCCCCAGCAUUGCCCAUUCAUUCAGCAAUCAUUAAUUCUAUGUCUACUACAGAAUUCCUUUAAACAGCUCACAGUCAAGCAGAGAGACUGGUGUGAGUGCAAAGAAAUAUGGCAGGCACUGUGAGGAGAGUCUACUUUUGCCUGCCUGGGAAGACCCAAGGAAGAAGUGGCCAGUUGCUGUCUUAGCAGGAUGAAGAAAGAUCUCAUGGAAGAGGUGAUGCUAGAACUGUAUCUUCAAAGAUGAACAGAGGUUUUCAGCUAAAAAAAGUGUAGGAAAGACAGACCAGCCCAGCCUAGGAGAGAAAUGUCAACUGUGGACUAUUACCUGUCUUAAAAAUCUAUUACCUGCAGUAUGGAGAAGGCAGUUCAAUCUUGUAUGAUUAGCACAUGCCUGACUGGUAUGCUAUGCUGUCUAGAACAUAGAAACUUGUCGUCACACUUGUCGCCUCCUUCCUCCCUUCCCCAAAUUCAUAAAAUACUAUAAAAUUUUCUUGCUGGUAAGCAAGGCCAUAUAGAUGUUAGAGUUAAGUGUGGUGGGUAGACUCAGUAUUCCAUGUGUAAUCACCAGCUUGGGGGCUGUGAGUCAGUGGUGGGGAGACAGCAGCAUCAACAGCAGCACCAUCUGCCCUCCUUCUGGAUCAAAGUUAGAAUUGUACACCCUCGAAAUAAGUUGUCCAGUGGUGGCCCCCUGUCUUCCUCUUCAGCUCUUCCAAUAGUUUUGUAAGCUCCCCACUCCUUAUACUGAAUCCCUUUUGGCUGGAAAUACCUAGAGCAGGUCCUGGUGUCUGCACUGAAUUCUGACUGAUACGAUUCCCCACUGUGAGGUCUAGAAGGGCCAAGAGCUGUUUGUCUUGUUCUUCACUGCAUCCCCAGUACCAAGCACAGGGUUUGGCAGUAGUAGGUUCUCAGUAAACAGUUUUUGAGUAACUGUAUUAAAAGUCGUAAUAUGUAAACGGGCAUACAUAUGUAUAUACAAAUAAUUACAACAAUUCAAAAGAUGCCAUAAGGCUGCACUUUCAUGGUCAAGAGCCACCUUACUAGCGAUGAGUGCUAUGUUGUCAUAGGCUAGUGGUACUGUGGGCUGGAGUGUUCACAGAAGACUUGAUGGAGAAGUCUUGGUGGAAAGGAGCUAGGUUCUGAUGGAUAAACAGGAAUUCGGCGGGGGGAAAAAAAGAGUGGGACAGUUUAGAUAUCAGUCCUUAGUGCUCACGUCACUCUGAUGACUAAUGUGUACUCACUCCUGAAAUGAGGACUAAGUUCCCUUUGAAAUGCACAUGGACUUAAAAGUGAAGGGAAAAGGUCUUGGCAUGAUGUUCUCAGGUUCUGCCAAACCCUAAUGUUGUGUUUGGAGCCCUCCUCUGCCCCAUAGGCCACAAGAAUUCCCCUGUCCCAAUCCCAUACCCACAUCAAGCAUGUUUCCGAAUCUUCUGGGAAGCCACACAGUGAGCAGUCAGAUGUCUGAUCUUGCUUCAGAACAAGCAAGGCAAGAUCCGAGUUCAACCAGCAGAAAUUUCCUCGUUGGCUGUCAGUUUCCCUGAGCUCCAGGGUUGGGUGAAAGGUUUGGGGGACAAAUCUCUCUUUAUCAUGCAGUGAUUACAAGCAAAGCGAUGUGAGUGAGGACUUUUGUACCUGCCAGUCAAGAUGAUCAGUGUCACCAGAAGGCCACUAGGCUCACGAGCUCUUCUUUAAGUGGGAACCAACCCAACCAAUGCCAG